rnacentral:rRNA from 1 species
CGGACGUGGAUAACCUGCCUCACACAGGGGAGUAACAGUUAGAAAUGACUGCUAAUACCGCAUAAGCGCACGGCAUCGCAUGAUGCAGUGUGAAAAACUCCGGUGGUGUGAGAUGGAUCCGCGUCUGAUUAGGUAGUUGGUGGGGUAACGGCCCACCAAGCCGACGAUCAGUAGCCGACCUGAGAGGGUGACCGGCCACAUUGGGACUGAGACACGGCCCAA